rnacentral:rRNA from 1 species
UAAUACGUAGGGGGCAAGCGUUGUCCGGAUUUAUUGGGCGUAAAGCGCGUGUAGGCGGCCAGAUAGGUCUGCUGUGAAAACUCGAGGCUCAACCUCGAGCUGUCGGCGGAAACCAUUUGGCUAGAGUCCGGAAGAGGAGAGUGGAAUUCCUGGUGUAGCGGUGAAAUGCGCAGAUAUCAGGAAGAACACCCGUGGCGAAGGCGGCUCUCUGGGACGGUACUGACGCUGAGACGCGAAAGCGUGGGGAGCGAACAGG